AUGAACGCUGGCGGCGUGCCUAAUACAUGCAAGUCGAGCGAACAGACGAGGAGCUUGCUCCUCUGACGUUAGCGGCGGACGGGUGAGUAACACGUGGAUAACCUACCUAUAAGACUGGGAUAACUUCGGGAAACCGGAGCUAAUACCGGAUAAUAUAUUGAACCGCAUGGUUCAAUAGUGAAAGACGGUUUUGCUGUCACUUAUAGAUGGAUCCGCGCCGCAUUAGCUAGUUGGUAAGGUAACGGCUUACCAAGGCAACGAUGCGUAGCCGACCUGAGAGGGGAAUCGGCCACACUGGAACUGGGACACGGUCCAAACUCCUACGGAAGGCAGCAGUAGGGAAUCUUCCGCAAUGGGCGAAAGCUUGACGAGGCAACGCCGCGUGAGUGAUGAAGGUCUUCGGAUCGUAAAACUCUGUUAUAGGGAAGAACAAAUGUGUAAGUAACUAUGCACGUCUUGACGGUACCUAAUCAGAAAGCCACGGCUAACUACGUG
rnacentral:rRNA from 1 species